rnacentral:rRNA from 1 species
UGGGGAAUAUUGCACAAUGGGGGAAACCCUGAUGCAGCGACGCCGCGUGAACGAAGAAGGUAUUCGUAUCGUAAAGUUCUGUCCUAUGGGAAGAUAAUGACAGUACCAUAGAAGAAAGCUCCGGCUAAAUACGUGCCAGCAGCCGCGGUAAUACGUAUGGAGCGAGCGUUGUCCGGAAUUAUUGGGCGUAAAGGGUACGCAGGCGGUUUAAUAAGUCGAAUGUUAAAGAUCGGGGCUCAACCCCGUAAAGCAUUGGAAACUGAUAAACUUGAGUAGUGGAGAGGAAAGUGGAAUUCCUAGUGUAAUGGUGAAAUACGUAGAUAUUAGGAGGAAUACCAGUAGCGAACGCGACUUUCUGGACACAAACUCACGCUGAGGUACGAAAGCGUGGGGAGCAAACAGG